GCCAGUGUGGUUGUGUGGUUGGAGUGUUGGACUUGGACUCUGGAGACCAGGGUUCAAAUCCCAGCUUGGCCA